CCCUUUUUGAUUUACGCGUUUUAACUGUGUGUUACUGCUGCUCUUGUCUUUGGGAAUGGAACUCAACUGACUGUGCAGCCAAACAUUCCAGAAACUUCUGUCCCUCAAGUCAUUGUGAUGAAAUCAAAGCAACUGAAAGAAGGUGGCAGCACUGGGAAAGCAGCUUGUUUGGCAAGGAACUUCCUUACAAAGGACAUCAGCUUGGAGAUGCCCUCUCAGGAGGUCGUAUAUGAACAGAGCACAUCCAUUUGGACGUCAGAGGGGUUGUACAAUGCAAUCAAAGUGGUCAAUGUGACAAAAGACACAGAGGUGACCUGCACGGCCCAAUCCCACAACAGCACGAUAACAACACAGCCAGAAGAGGAGGCUGAAGAACCAGGAACAGGCACCAGUGACAGGGUUUGCAACAGCACAGACCCCUCAGCACAAGACCCCGAAGGGCAGAGAGUGAACAUGCUGUCCAUGGCUGUGCUGGGUUUGAGAGUCCUGCUGGCAAAGAGCAUCGCCUUCAAUGUCCUCAUGAGUAUCAAGUUGUUUCUCUUCUGAGACAUGGGGAAUGAAGGCAAGAGGAGCCCAAAGAAGAGCAGGAAAGAACGUGAAC